rnacentral:snRNA from 1 species
AUGCUCACUUCAACAGCACAUAUACUGAUAUUGGAAUGAUAGAGAGAAGGUUCAGCAUGGCCCCCGUGCAAAAAUGACACAUAAAUCUGUGAAGCGUUCCAUGUUUUU